rnacentral:lncRNA from 1 species
UGCUCUCUGAGUGCCCAACUCUGGCUGAGCAUAUCCAGAAGGCGGGGCCUGGCUAGAGGGAUAUGCUGAAUGACCAUAGCCUCCUGCUGUGCUAGGUGACUGUGAUUGACCAUAAACAGGUGGAUUUGCACUUGGCUUCUGAGAGGGAGGAGCACCAUAACUAGGUCCAUAACCAGACUGUGGUUGACUUCCAUAGGCCGCUUGGGUGGUAGGGGCUACCGCAUAACCUGGUUGAGGAGUUUCUGGUUGGUUGGUAGCAUAACCUUGCUGAGCAACAGUAGUGGGUUGGGAAGUUUGGGAGGUAUCCGCUUGUGAUCCAUAGUUGGAAGUGUGCCCCUCUUGGGUUGGAUUACUCCCACUUCCAUAACUUGGAGCAGAGCCAUAACCUUGUUGCUGAUCAUAAGUUUGUGGCUGACCAUACCCAGAUUGUUGUUGUGCAUUAUACGCACCAUAGCUUUCCUGACCAUAACCCUGUCCUGGUUGGCUAUAACCAGAGGAAGGAGGUUGACUGUAACUGUAUCCAGACCCAUCAGCUGGCUGUGGAGGACCCCCAGGAUUUUGCUGUUGCUGGGGUUGUUGGUUGUAAUAAUCAUAACCACUUGCAUGAGUAGACUGCUGGUGAGAUGGUGCGGUGGAUUGGUCCCAGUUGGCGGAAUAUCCACCGGGUUGCUGAGGAGGAUAGCCUGCAUAUGGUGGCUGAGGCAUGUUAUACUGCGGUGAUGGACCAGAGUAUGAUCCAGGUUGCCCAUAGCCAUAACCAGCUUGUUGCACAGGAGCAGGAGGAGGAGCCCAGCUAGACGGUGGUCGGGAUUGGUAACCUUGCUGAGUAUAACCACCGGAGUUCCCUGAAUUUCUGAGACGAUUCUGCAGAGAGAAACAUCACAACCACAAAUUAAAAAGGCAGCUCGACCAACGUAUCAAAACAUAAAAAUAUACGAAGCAAUAGACGUACACAAAAAAUGGGUGUCAAAAUAUGCAUAACCUCAUUUCCAUUGAUGCCAAUAAAAAUUAGUCAUAAUUUCAAUAAGCUGAUUGUCAAGACAACAGAUAUUUUACUCACUACAAGAGCUCAAGUAUGGGAAACUAAAUCCAAAUAUACAGACCGUACUUCACUAAGCCCCAAGUACAUUGAAACAAUCCUUUCAACCUUCCCUCAACCCAAUCUAACAGGUCAGCCUAAACAAACUAUGAAAUAAAAGCUAAUAAAACUGAUUAGUGAGUGCCAUUAUAAUUGAAAGUGAAUUUAACAUAGGAAAUAGCUAUUCUUUAUAUGUAGAUGAGCACAAGUCCCAAGGAUAAAACUAUGCCAAAUGAAAGUUGAGCAUAUGACCCAACGAUAAGAAAUAUUUUAAGUAUAAGUUCUUACGAACAAUGACAGAAACACACAAAUGGCCUUGUUGAAGAGAAUUUUAAACAAAAUCCAACAGAGAGGAACAUAAAUAGAGACAAUGACUAAGAGUACUCAAAGUGUUGUCUAAUUUUAUGGCUGACAUACACAAUCAACAAGUCAAGAUUCAAAAGGGACAUAAAGUUGAUAAAUCAUAGCUACUGCGGUCUCCAGUCUGAGUUAUCAUGGUUUCAUUUGGCAAGCUUAUGCAACCAUACUGUAAAAAUAUGAGCACCUUAUUUUUACAAAAGGCGGAGAAUAAAAAAUGAAUAACAAUUUUGUAGGGACUAAACUCAAAAGGUCCAUAAUUAUAUAAGGUAAUUGUAUAAGAACUUCAAACAUAUUUAAUCCUAAAACUAAACAUGGUUAUAAACCCAUAAUUUUAAACUUAAAAGAGAUUUGGCACAUUCCAUCCAAAAAUGAUAAGCCAGAUAAAACAAAAAAUUGUGUUGAUAACAUACCUCACCAGUGAGGAUUUGAUUAACCAAUUGCUUUGCUGAUUCAAUCUGAUCAGGGGUCCCAUCGAUUUUUAAUGUUCUUUCUGUUGAUGUAUCACCUGGGGGAGGAUGCAAAGGUAUCACCUAAAAAAAUUGACAAUAUUAGUAAAAGUUAAAAUGAAUAGGAAAUCCAAGUCUUGAGAGUCGGGCAGUCAGCUGUUAACAGCAUCUAACUAGAAUCUAACUUUUAACAUAAUCAUGAUUAAGAAACUAUAUAUCGAACAAGAAACGAAGACAAAAGCGCAAGAGAGAACCUGAAUUCGUGCUCCGGUAGAAGCUUGCAUACUCUUUAUUGUUUCUCCUCCUUUACCGAUUAUAAGGCCAACCUAAAGAUGCACACAAGAAACCACAUCAACCCAAAUGAGAAUAAACAAAACACUGCCAAAAAACAUGCCCGCAACUGGAUAUAUUUCCUUCCCACACCUUAUUGUUUGGUAUUUGCAUCACAAAUUCAUCACCCCCAGAUUGUGCAACCAUCCGUCUAGUUCCACCGCCAGAAGCCCCAGCUUCAGCCUAGUUAAUAAACAACAUGUAUCAGUAAUGUUUCACAAACAGGUCAAAGUUACACCAAUUCCAACAUCAUUUGAGCAUAUUUAUUCAUGAAAUACUUCAUAUUAUAGUUACAGAAUCAGUAGAAAACAACUCUUAUCAGUGAUGUCUCACUAACAGUAUACAGUUACAGCAAUUCAACAUCACUUCGUUUGAGCAAAUUUAUCGUGAAAUACUUCAUACUACAGAUACAAAAUCAGUUGAAACAAGUGAUGUUUAUUGAACAUAUUAAAGUUUAUGCCACUCGAACAUCAUUUGAGCAAAUUCAUAAUGAAAUGAUUGUCAUCAAUGUUUUACUAACAGGUUAAAUUAAUGUCGUUCAAGCUUCAUUUGAGCAAAUUUAUCGUGAAAGACUUCAUACUGCAGGCACAGAAUAAGUUGAAAACAAUUCCUAUUGGUGAAGACAACUCCUAUCGUGAAAUAUUUCGUACCUAUCGUGAAAUCGUGAAAUACUUCGCUAAGAGGUAAAGUUACAGUCAUUUGAACAUCGUUUGAGCAAAUUCGCCAUGAAAUUGUGCAAUAUUAGAAGAAAACAACUCUCAUCACAGAUACUUCACUAACAAUUUACAGUUAACAGUUGCAAAAUCCGUUGAAAACAACAAUUUCACUAACAUCUUACCUUUACCGUCAUUUAAACAUCAUUUGAGCAAAAUUGAUCAUAAUUCAUAAAGCACAUCAUAUCACAUAUACAAAAUCAGUCAGAUACAACAAAAUCAGACUACAGUUGCACCAACUUCUACAUCAUUUGAGCAAAUUUAUCAUAAAACACUUCAUAUGACAGUUACAAAAUCAACUCCUAUUGAAACUCCAUACAACAGUUAUCAAAUCAGUUCAAACCAGCUCUAAUCAAUGAUAUUUCACUAAGGUAACAGUUACGGUGAUUUCAAAACAACAAUUGAGCAAAUUAAUCACGACAUACUUCAUAUAACAGUAAAAAAAACAGUUCAAAACAACUCAUAUCAAUGAUUUUCCCUAAAACGUAACAAUUACAGUAAUUCAAAAAAUAUGAAUUAAUCAAAUUGUUAUCAGUAAACACGAGUUUAAAACAAACAAACCUCGGCAAGGACUUCAUUGAUGAGUUUCUCAGCAGAAGAAACAGCAUCAGGAGUACCCAUAAGUUCAACCAUCCUAGUCUGAGAAUUAGGAUCAGCAUCCAUAUCACGAGUAACUUGAAUCUUAGCACCAGAUUGCAUCUGAAGAUACUUAAUAGUUUCACCUCCUUUACCAAUAAGAACACCAACCCUACCAUUAGGUAUUUCAAUCUUCUUACUAGAACCAUAACUACCACCUUGUUGUGAAUAUUGCGGCUUCAAAUCGUAAGAAUCAAACCCCGAGUGUGGAGCACCGUUAUCGGACUUGGUUCGUUUGGGAUCGUAGGAGAGUGGUGGAGCGCCGGUGACGCUGAGAAGACGAGCGGCGACUUCUUGAGCUCGUUGUUUGGCGUUUGCGACUUCGAGUUCGAUGUCAGUGGCGGUGGGUUGGUCAUCGUAUUUACGUUUUAGGGUUGCGUACUGUGCUUCUUCCGCCAUUGAAACAAACCCUAGAGGGAAGAAGAAAGUGAAAACACGAUGUGUGAAGGAAUUGGAUUAGGUUUUGAAAACACGAUGUGCUACUGGUCAUUUCAGAUACUAGAGAAGAGGUAAAAUUUUACUCGGACUUAAAUCUAAUUUUUAAUCACACAAAAAAAAAACCAAUUAAAAAAUGUAAAAUAAGAAUUUAACUAUCAUAUUUUUUUUUUUGGAAGGAAAUUUAACUAUCAUAUUUUAAAAAUUCAAUUAAAAAAAAGUAAUAUAAGAAUUUUUUUGACAAAAGUAAUAUAAGAAUUUAAUUAACAUAUUCUAAAAGUUUGGACUUAUAUAUAAAAAUCGUUGAUGGUCGUUAUUGAAUUUUAAGAUUUAUGAGUGGGUUCUUUUUGCCUAAAAAAAUAUUGUAAAAAUUAAAAAAAAUAUAUAUGAAUGGUAUUUUGAUUAAAAUUAUAGUACGAAUCGUUAGGUAUAUAUUUGUAAUUUAGUAAUUUGAAAAAUAAAUAAAUUGAAGAUUUCAUCAUAUUUCAUCCAAAUUAGAGGGUAAGCAAAACCAAAGUAAGUGGUGGAACAUGAUGGAAUGCAUGUUAUUGAGUUUUAUUCCAUCCCAUCCUUUUAAUGAUUAUUCAAACAAUGAAAUCUUAAUUUAUUCCAUUUCAUCCUACUUCAUUCCAUCACAUUCCAUCAAUUCAGACAUAGCCUUAGUGUUACGGUAGAUAUGUAGUUUGAUUUGGUUCGGAUGACAAAAUAAAAACCACAACCAAACACGAUUUAUUGCGGUUUUCGUUUUAAUUGGUUCCGUUUACGUUUCUAUUGAGUCACUAGGUUUUGAACACUCAUAAAUACUUGUUUGCGUGCGUAUAUGUAUAUGUGCAUAUAGUCACUAGAGGUGUUCAAAACCGAACCAACCCAAUAGAAAAACCGCAAACCAAACCAAUCCAACCCGAAAUCGCAAAAAACCGCACUUGGUUCAGAUGAAUUCGGAUGACUUUUGCAAUGAACCGCGCGGUUCGGUUUGGUUUGCGGUUUGCAUCUCAGCAGCCGAACCAAACCAAACCAAACCGCAAGAAUCAUGAAUAUUACUUAAACAUGUACUAGCCCAAUUACUGCACAAACUGAACCAAUCCAAACCGCAUUGGUUUGGUUUGGAUGAAUUUUUAAAAAUCAACCGAACCAACCAAACCGCAUGCUUUUUUAUCUCGUAGUUUGGGUUUUAUGCUCAAAACUGAACCAAACUACGUCGCGGACACCCCUAAUAGUCACUCUAAAAAGACAUUUAUAAAGGAACCGAAGGAGUGCUAUUAAAAAAUUAUUGUUAAUUGUUAUAUGGCUAAAAUAUGUUUUUGGUCCUUGCAAAUAUGGUGAGUUUGGAUUUUGGUCCCUGGUAAUUUUUUUUUUUUUAAAAAUUCAUCCCUGCAAAAAUUUUUGUUUUUUAAAAUAGUCCUUGACUCCACUUUAUUGAUGAUUUGACGCAUUUCUUCUACACACGUGGCUUUCGUUGACUGUGGAAGAACGUACACAUGGCACACAAGUGGCAAUUGCCUUAUUUAAAAUAUUUAAAAAUCAUUUUAAUUAAAAUUAAAUUUAGUUUUCAAAUUUAAAAAAAGAUUUAAUUAAAUUAAAAAAUUAAAGAAUCAGCAUUCUUUUCAUCUCUUCUUCUUCUCCAACCCUUUUCUUCUUAUUCUUCUUCUGCAAUAACACAACAUCUGUUUCACCAUCUUCACCAUUUUUCCAUCAUCAUUAAAACCAAUCAAAACCACAUUCAAUUGUAGAGAAAAUGGGAGAAAGAUAUCCAGAAUCUGAGGAGCAAAUCCAUAAACGAAAUCAAAUCUCAACGCAACAAAAAUCAAAUCUUAAACAAAAUCAAAUCUUCUCCAUCACAUCGCAGCAAAAUCAAAUCUUAAACAAAAUCUCAAAUUUGAGUAGCAAACCCAUAAACGAAAUCAGACGAACCCAGAAGCGAAAACGAGUGAGAAUCGUCUCCGGUAGUCAGAUCUGGUGGUUGGUGACUGAGCGGUGAUGAUGGCGGUUCAUGUUGUAGCGCGACGAGGACGGUGGCGGAGGAGUUUUAAUUUGCGGUGGCUUGAGAUGGGCUGAUGGCAAAUCUUGGUUGCUGUUAGUUUUUGUUUAUGAAUUGGAAACAAAUGAUGUUUUGUCAUAAUUGAGUUCAUGGUGAACUGUAGAUUGUGAUGUGAUGUUGUGUUUCUUACCUCCAUUGCUUCUCUCUUGUUGUUACUGUUCUAGAUCCAAAGAGAUGGUCUCUCUUGGUGUUCAGUUCUUAAUACAUGUUUUGGUCCUUAACUUAUUUUCGGAUUUUAUUUUGGUCCUCUAACUAUAAAGUGUCUCAAUUUGAUCUCUUAUGUUUUCUCCGUUACCUCUUUUGGUCUUCUCCCUUAGGUUGUUUUCAAAAAUAGUUAACCCUUGUCCACAUGUCAUUUAAGAUUGGAGAUUAAGGGUUAGAUUUAAAAAGUAUACAAUGAGCUCACAACAUACAAUCAUUUCUAUUUUUCUUGAUUUUCCUAAAAAUAUAAAUUUAAAAUCACCAUCAAUCUACAUCUUUUUAUAUAUUUUGAAAAUAAUUUGUAUCCAGAUUUUUAAAAAUUAAAAUAUUUUUCAGAAUUUUGUAGAAAAAAAUAAAAAAAAAUCUGACCUUUUUUUUUAAAAUUUCGUAAUAAAAUUAUUUUUUUUCAAAUUUUGAAAAAGAUUUUAUAAAAUUCAAGAAUAACUUUUUUUUUCAUAUUUUAUAAAAAUCUGAAUUUUUUUAUAUAUUUUUCAAAAUUAAAAUAUUUUCCAGAAUUUUGUAGAAAAAAUUAAAAAUAACCUUUUUUUUCGAAGAAAAAUAUGAUCUUUUUUUAUAACCUUUUUAAAUUCUGAAUUUUUUAAAUUAAAAUAUUUUCCAGAAUUUUGUAGAAAAAUUUGUAUCCAGAAUUUUAAAAAUUAAAAUAUUUCCCAGAAUUUUGUAGAAAAAAUUUAAAAAAACAUUUUUUUUCGGAAAUCUGACCUUUUUUUGAAAUUUCGUAAAAAAAUAAAUUUUUAAAUCUUGGAAAAGAUUUUAAAAAAAUUCUGGAAUAUUUUUUUGGAUAAUGUUUUAUGUACACACUUUUUUCCAUACACACAUUGUACCACUUCAUGUGAGAGUGUGUGAGAGACAAUACAUUUGAGUUUUUUUGUGUGUGGGGGGGACCACAAGGACACUUGUCAAAAUUGUAUGUGGGUGUACAAGUGGUACAUGUCACCUAAGGUGGUUUAUGUAUCACCACUCAUUUUUUUUCCUUCUAAUUUUAAAAUAUGAAUUUUUUAUAUAUUUUUCCAGAUUUUUAAAAAUUAAAAUAUUUUUCAGAAUUUUGUAGGAAAAAAUUAAAAAAACCUUUUUUUUCGAAAAAAAAAACUGACCUUUUUUAAAAAUUUCGUAAAAAAAUAAAUUUUUUUAAUUUUGAAAAUGAUUUUAAAAAAAUCUGGAAUAUUUAAAAUAUGAAUUUUUUAAUAUAUUUUUUGCUUCAAAAAAAUCAGGUGUUAAUCAUUCACCGUAGGCUACAAUAAACCUACAUGAUCCAACGGUUUCUAUUUGAAAAAUAGAUCAAAAAGUUAAAAUGUAACGGAGAGGACCAAAAGAGGUAACGGCAUAAGACAUAAGGGACCAAAUUGAGACACUUUAUAGUUAGGGGACCAAAAUGAAAUCCGAAAAUAAGUUAAGGGACCAAAGCAUGUAUUAAGCCAUAAAUUUAUGAAUUUUCCACCUUUUCUGCAGUUUCUUUAAUUUUUAAUCACUUAAUUAAACUUAAUUGAUUUUUUAUUUUAAUUUCAAAAGUAUAUUUUUUUAUUUUAAAAAAUGGUUUUUAAAUAAUUAAAUUGAAACAAUUGUCAUGUGGCUGCCAAUUGUGCAUAAUUACACAGUCAGUGAAUGUCACGUAGGCAGAAAUGCGCCAAAUCAUCAAUAAAAUGGGGUCAAGGACUAUUUUAAAAUACAAAAAAUUUUGCAGGGAUGAAUUUCAAAAAAGAAAUUUACCAGGGACCAAAAUCCAAACUCGUCAUAUUUGCAGGGAUCAAAAACAUAUUUUAGCUUGUUAUAUUUGUUGAAGGAAGUUAAUGCAAAUUAAAUUCGCUAAAUAAAAUCUAUGAUUUAUUAUGUCAAGAGAAAAGUCAAAUAAAUAUAAGUUAAUAACUUAAAAUAUAUUUGAUUUAAAGAUAUUGAUCAUAAACAAGUUAUUUAACUUUACUAACAAAAAAAAUUGCAUUGAUGAUAAUAUUUAAAAUGUCAUGUUAAUAUAAAUAAAUAAAAAAACAUUUUUUACACUUUUGUAAUGCAUAAAAAGAGAGAAAACCAAUCAAACAUAUCUUAAAAGAGAGAUGAUCCAGAAGCAAAGAGGAUACGGAUUUUGUAAUGCAUAAAAAAAUGAAAACCAAUCAAGACUGCACAAAUAAUACAUGGCAUUUUUUUUUUUUUGACGAAAUACAUAAUGACAUGUUGAUCAUACAGAUUUCAGAUAUGAUUUUGUUCGGACUAAGAAAAUAACACCUAUGCUGCAUGUUGAAUCAAAAGCUCCUGCUAUCAUAAGCUACUGCUAUCAUGUGAUAUCAUACAGAGCUCUACUGAGAUCUCCUGAAAUAUGUAACUUAUACAUAUAAAAUCCUUCUUACAUUUUCAAAAAACUUAGGUUUAUUUAAGUAUUCUGUGUUCAUUUUAGUAAUGUCUUUUAACAUAUAUUCCACGGUUGCACCAAAAUUCUGCAAAUGGCAUGUAACUUCGCAGCUCAUUUCAGGAAAAUUCUUUCCUUUUGAAAUGAAAGAUACGGGGAUCAAACCAUACAACUUUUAAAAGGAAAAUGCUAGUCUAACGCUGGAUUCAGUACAAUUUGUUAGCUCCUAUUCAACCUUCCGGAAAAUAUUCAAGUACCAAAAUAAGUUUGUUUUCAUCUAGACACUGCAAUGCCAUAUAGAUGUUGCUAUCAAAAUGGGAGGAAAAAAAAUUAAAACCACAUCCCAAAGGACCAUAAUAAAAUCACAAAAGACAAAUCAACUCUUGGGUGAGACUUUAGCAACACCGCCCUGUGGAACAGCCUGUGCAGUUGCUCCAUCGCUAGCAUAUGCUGGAGCCUGAGCAUAACCAGCACCAUAAGAACUAUUUCCAUAUGACGCUGGAGUCUGGCCAUAGCUAGGCUGGCCACCUUGAGGAGCACCAUAUGAUUGCGGACCAUACCCUGGUUGCACUGGUGCUCUCUGAGUUCCUAACUCUGGUUGAGCAUAUCCAGAAGGUGGGGCCUGGCUAGAGGGAUAUGCUGACUGACCAUAGCCUGCUGCUGUGCUAGGUGACUGUGACUGACCAUAAACAGGUGGAUUUGCACUUGGCUUUUGAGAGGGAGGAGCACCAUAACCAGUUCCAUAACCAGACUGUGGUUGACUUCCAUAGGUCGCUUGGGACGUAGGGGCUAC